GGCGCCUCUCCGAUCAAUGGUCUCUCUCUUAAAUUGAUUUGGAAAAAGAACACAAAGGAGAACAAAUUGAAGACCACAUUUCCUCCAUAAACAUUUUCCAAACAGUAACGUUACAUACAUACAAGAAACUCAUCUCACAGUAUACUUUUCUCUUCUUCACAAAUUGAACAAAACAAUCACAUCAUACCACAUAUAUCAUUCUUUCUCUGAUAUCACAAGAAAUGAAAACCAAAAAACUUACCACUACACCCAUACAAAAUCCACCCUAAAAUACCUCAUUUUCCAUUUUCUCAUUUUAAGAAAAAUACAAAUCAUACUCCAUUGUCUUCAUAAUAAUAAACUUCACCACCCCAAACAUCUUCAAGCCACCACUUCAUCAUAACUCACCUUUUCCGGCAACCAACAAAGCUCACCACUAACUUCGUAACCUCAUUCGUCAUUUCGCCGUGUAAUGGUUGUUCAAGUUUGUUCUUUGUUUUCACUUCCUUUAUGCUUGUUCUCUUACUAUUUAUUCUUUAAUUUGAUAGUUCCUUUUUUAUUUUAUUUUUCUCUCUUAUUGUUUCAGUUCAUGUUUGCAACAUCCAUAUAUAUUUUUGUUUGUCAUGAGUUUUAUGUAUAUAUUGCUUGCUUUUCUUUGCAUUUCAUAUGUAUGUUUACUUAUAGCUUGAAAUUUUUACUUAGACAAUUUUUUAGAUUUUUUUUAGUUUUAUAUGGAUAGUUACUUGCUACUUGGGAUUAUAUAUAUAUAUAUAUAUAUAUUU
rnacentral:lncRNA from 1 species